UGCCAUAAUAAAUUGUACAAAUAUUUAUAAUUACAUUGAAUAAGUAACAAGUAAUAAAAUUCCGGUUGAUAAGUGAUGAUUUUCCAGCCCUGUUUUAGCUGUGCGCUCCUAUUCUGUGGCGCACAGUAAAUCAAGUGUUUAAUGCAGCGCAAGUGCGCCUCUGCUGUAAAACAGCGUUACCAGCAUUAUACAGUAUAUCAACACCAAUUAGACUUUGAGAUUCAAUUUCCAUUGGUUGAACUGAAUGACAUGGGAACUACUGACAGAAGGCAGGAUGUCCUGCUCCAGGUGUUCCUCAGCAGUGGGGAUGACUUCAGAGGUCUAGAUCCCGCCUAUGAUCUGGGAUAGUCCUCUGCCAGAGCCAGGUCAUAUUUUCCAGCUCUAUGGUGAGGAAAGUGAAGAUCAGGAAAGCUCCAGAAGCCUUAUUUUUUUAUCCUCUCUCUCUGUCUCCUUUCUUCCUCCAUCAGUAACACCAGACCCAACAGUUGUGUCUCAUCAAGCCAAUGAGGAUGUUUCUCCGCUGUGUGUUGUAGUACACAGGUCCAUGUACUCACUUAAUAUCAGUCACAGUCUUUGAUCAUGAACGUAGCUGUUCCAUGAUAAUACUGUUGGUCACUCACUAUCAGAUAGUAACUUUAACCUACAAAAUGAG
ensembl:lncRNA